AAUGAUCUGAAUCCAGCUGUUUCGUUCCUCUUUGGAGCUGGCAUGGACUUCUACCAUCUCUGGAUCUGUCAUCCCCAUGCUGAUCAGGAAUAAACCUUUCUCCUCAUGUGCCACUUCUCUCACAAUCAGCUUCUUUAAAGAGAUCACUGUUGACUUCUGGUCCUGGAAAAAGGGAAGAGGGCAAAUAAAAGAUACAUAUACAAUAUUCUAACUCUGAAGGACAGCUUCAAUCUAAGGAAAACUAAAAUGUCAGUGAGAAGAACUGCUUGAACCUCUGGAAAAUGGAAAUGGGAGAAGGGAAGAUAAAACGAUGACUACUUAAUAGUUACCCACAGUCAGAAGGUUUUUUAUUGAAGGGUGUUUCAGCAACACAUACACCCCUAUACGGGCAAACUAUGAUCUGAGAUCACACUCCUCCAAAGCAACAGUUUUACAGUUCUCCAGGAUUCAGAUCUGGUCACCAGAUUUUUAGCAGCAUUUUAAAAUGGGAUUUAUCACCAAAGCCUUGUUUUGGAAAAGUUUAAGUACUCAGUCCUAGAAAGAUAUAUCCCAUAAGACAAGAUUUUAAG
ensembl:lncRNA novel transcript, antisense to AKAP13